GUCUACGGCCAUGUCACCCUGAACAAGCCUGAUCUUGUCUUACCUCGGAAGCUAAGCAGGGUCGGGCCUGGGUAGUACUUGGAUGGGAGACCAUCUAGGAAGACUAGGUGCUGUAGGCG
rnacentral:rRNA from 1 species